AACGAACGCUGGCGGCGCGCCUAACGCAUGCAAGUCGAACGAGAAUCCGGGGCAACCCGGUAGUAAAGUGGCAAACGGGUGAGGAAUACAUGGGUAACCUACCCUUGAGAAGGGAAUAACCCGCCGAAAGGUGAGCUAAUACCCUAUACGCUAUCUUUUUUCGAAAGGAAUAGAAAGCCGGGUCGAGGCCUGUACUCAAGGAGGGGCUCAUGUCCUAUCAGCUUGUUGGUGGGGUAACGGCCUACCAAGGCUACGACGGGUAGCUGGUCUGAGAGGAUGAUCAGCCACACUGGCACUGAGAUACGGGCCAGACUCCUACGGGAGGCAGCAGUGAGGAAUAUUGCGCAAUGGGCGAAAGCCUGACGCAGCGACGCCGCGUGGGGGA
rnacentral:rRNA from 1 species